rnacentral:rRNA from 1 species
UAACACAUGCAAGUCGAGCGGAAACGACAACAUUGACCCUUCGGGUGAUUUGUUGGGCGUCGAGCGGCGGACGGGUGAGUAAUGCCUGGGAAAUUGCCCUGAUGUGGGGGAUAACCAUUGGAAACGAUGGCUAAUACCGCAUAANGUCUACGGACCAAAGAGGGGGACCUUCGGGCCUCUCGCUUCAGGAUAUGCCCAGGUGGGAUUAGCUAGUUGGUGAGGUAAUGGCUCACCAAGGCGCCGAUCCCUAGCUGGUCUGAGAGGAUGAUCAGCCACACUGGAACUGAGACACGGUCCAGACUCCUACGGGAGGCAGCAGUGGGGAAUAUUGCACAAUGGGCGCAAGCCUAAUGCAGCCAUGCCGCGUGUAUGAAGAAGGCCUUCGGGUUGUAAAGUACUUUCAGUCGUGAGGAAGGCGUUGAAGUUAAUAGCUUCAUCGUUUGACGUUAGCGACAGAAGAAGCACCGGCUAACUCCGUGCCAGCAGCCGCGGUAAUAC